UUCUCUCCGGCGUGGAGAGAGAUUGAAAGAUGGCUUCGGCUAUCACUUACAGAUGGACCCGCGGCGCAUUAGCUAGUUGGUGAGGUAACGGCUCACCAAGGCAACGAUGCGUAGCCGACCUGAGAGGGUGAUCGGCCACAUUGGGACUGAGACACGGCCCAAACUCCUACGGGAGGCAGCAGUAGGGAAUCUUCCGCAAAUGGACGAAAGUCUGACGGAGCAACGCCGCGUGAGUGAAGAAGGUCUUCGGAUCGUAAAACUCUGUUGUUAGGGAAGAACAAGUAUCGUUCGAAUAGGGCGGUACCUUGACGGUACCUAACCAGAAAGCCACGGCUAACUACGUGCCAGCAGCCGCGGUAAUACGUAGGUGGCAAGCGUUGUCCGGAAUUAUUGGGCGUAAAGCGCGCGCAGGCGGUCUUUUAAGUCUGAUGUGAAAGCCCACGGCUCAACCGUGGAGGGUCAUUGGAAACUGGAAGACUUGAGUGCAGAAGAGGAGAGUGGAAUUCCACGUGUAGCGGUGAAAUGCGUAGAGAUGUGGAGGAACACCAGUGGCGAAGGCGAUGCUCUGGUCUGUAACUGACGCUGAGGCGCGAAAGCGUGGGGAGCAAACAGGAUUAGAUACCCUGGUAGUCCACGCCGUAAACGAUGAGUGCUAAGUGUUAGAGGGUUUCCGCCCUUUAGUGCUGCAGCUAACGCAUUAAGCACUCCGCCUGGGGAGUACGACCGCAAGGGUGAAACGCAAAGGAAGGGACGGGGGCCCGCACAAGCGGUGGAGCAGGCGGGGAAGGCGAAGCAACGCGAAGA
rnacentral:rRNA from 1 species